GUAGUCCAUGCCGUAAACGUUGGGCACUAGGUGUGGGGGGCAUUCCACGUUCUCCGCGCCGUAGCUAACGCAUUAAGUGCCCCGCCUGGGGAGUACGGUCGCAAGGCUAAAACUCAAAGGAAUUGACGGGGGCCCGCACAAGCGGCGGAGCAUGCGGAUUAAUUCGAUGCAACGCGAAGAACCUUACCAAGGCUUGACAUACACCGGACCGUCCUGGAAACAGGUCUUCUUCUUUGAAGCUGGUGUACAGGUGGUGCAUGGUUGUCGUCAGCUCGUGUCGUGAGAUGUUGGGUUAAGUCCCGCAACGAGCGCAACCCUCGUUCUAUGUUGCCAGCACGUGAUGGUGGGAA
rnacentral:rRNA from 1 species